CCUUUUUUAAUUUGUGGAACAUGUUCACACCUACGUUUUUAAAAAUAAAAUCUUGUGAGGUGGAUAGGGCACAUAGCAGUACACUCAUUUUAUAAGUUGGGAAUUUAAGAUAUUGAGUGAUGUGUUCCAGAUUUUGGUUAGGAGCAAAUAGCAAAGACCAGAAUCUUCACUCACAGCUUAAAUUCUGACUUUCUGGUUGGCAUCGGUUGAAACUGAGGUCUAGAUUAGGCUUUUUAACUGUAGCAAAUAAAGACUGUGAAACCACCUCCUUGAUCCUUAGAUAUAGACUCUGGCCUGAGUCAUUCCUUUCCCUUUUUCAGGUUGGUUCAUAAUCGAGUACUCUUGAUAUUGAGUCAUUUGGGAAUUAGGAAUUACACAGCCACUUAUCUUUUCAAGGUUGAUCUCUAACCAACCCACAUUUCAAAGGUUAUCUAGGUCCCUGAGAGAAUCUGAAAUAUGAUUUCAACUCUCCUAUACCAUGCAAAGAUGUAAACUUUUUCACUUAAUGCAGAAGAAUUUCAAAGCAUUUCCAAAUGGGUUCUUUGUGGGGAUUUGAGACAUGGGUACAUCACAGGAUUCCCACUCCUGUUUGGGUUGGGUGCUAAUCUCCAAUUUCUCUGUUGUGUCUCUAAAUCUCCAUAAUGGGACAUCAGCCACACCAGGUGUCACCUAGUUCCUCCACCCCUCCUCAAGAUUUCCUGUGAGCUGCCCCUUCUCCUAUAGGCAGAGUGAUGUCAUAAUGGGAUCAGAAUGGUAUCUGCUGGUAAUAACGCAACAGAUACAAGGCUUUCUGCAGCACCUUCUGAGCAAUUGGGCUGUCACUGUCCUAAAUGGAGUAGUUGGGUUAAAAGUAUUUGUCCAUGACAUAACUCCCUGGCCCUCAGCUACCAGUGGAAGCAGGUCUCUCUGGUUCGACCUGUUAAUACCACAAACUCUACUUUGCCAGAAAUGUGACUUCUUGAUGAAUAAGUUGGUCCAGACCUGCCAAUUUGAAGUGAACUCAUAUUUGGCAGUCUGCUGGAGCGCCAACGAUCAAGAGGAGACCAGAUGAGUUUUCAGAGCAGUCCUCAAACACCCAGGACACACCUCAUCCUUUGCCUCAUGCUUUCUGCAAUGUUGCUGCUCACAUUCAUCUUCCUAUUAACGCUUGCCAUAAUUACCCCUUCCUGAUCACCAUUCUUCCUCCAUUCACUACCCACUCAGCUCUUUCUCCAAGGUGCCUGUCUUAUGGGCAGUGGCUUUGUUCUCUGUUUGGCAAGUUCCCCUCUGAGUUAUGUCAAGAUGGCUAACAUUGGUUUCCCUCUUUCCUCAUGCCCAACAGCCCCUGCCUCAUGCCCAACAGCCCAGCAUUCAGUCCCUAGGUGAGGAAAACCACAGCACAUCCUACCUCUUCCAAAAUGAAGUUGCAAGCCUCUGCCAGAGCAGUCACACUCAAUGAAGAUACUCGAGGUAUCUGAGUGUGAUGUAAUUAAAACUAGAUGGAAAGACCAGAAAUCCCUUAGUCCCAGUCAGAUAUAGUGAAAGCGCUUACUCAUGACUGUUUGGACUGAUUAAGAAUGUGGAGGUAGGAAGAAGAGAAAGAGAAGGAUCCUCAGAAUUGGACUGCCCCUGAAUACAGGAUGGAAUCAUCCAGACUUUUUUUCCUCCAAUUAAAUUUGCAUUUCAUUCUA